GACGAACGCUGGCGGCGUGGAUUAGGCAUGCAAGUCGGACGGUAGGGCUUUAUCGUAAGAUAGAGUUUGAGAGUGGCGAACGGGUGAGUAACACGUAGGAAUCUACCCUUAAGACGGGGACAACCCAGGGAAACUUGGGCUAAUACCGGAUGAGAGUGCGAGAGAUUGCAUUUAAAAGGAUGGCGAAAGUUGUCGCUUAGGGAUGAGCCUGCGGUCUAUUAGUUAGUUGGUGAGGUAAGAGCUCACCAAGGCGAUGAUAGAUAGGCGGCCUUAACGGGUGGUCGCCCACACUGGGAUUGAGAUACGGCCCAGACUCCUACGGGAGGCAGGCAGUCGAGAAUAGUCUACAAUGGCCGGAAGGCUGAUAGUGCGACGCCGCGUUGAACGAGGGAGCCCUUCGGGUGUAAAGUUCUUUUCUAUACGAGCAGUGCUAUAUAUAAUGGAUAGUAUAUAUAGAGGGAUAGUAGUAUAGGAAUAAGCAACGGCUAAACUCCGUGCCAGCAGCCGG
rnacentral:rRNA from 1 species